AGAGAGUUGUUUGGGCUACCCCAAGGCUAAAAUUUCAGAAUCUGUACUAGAGCCUUGAGGGAACAGAGAAAUAAGACUACAUUGUCAAUACAGUCUAGAUCUAUGAUUAUAAAUACGAAACUAGAGCUAAUUCUUAAUAUUAGACAACUAGUCUAGAUCUAGUGAAGUGAAUUCUAGUGACACUAGACUCUAGAUCUAGUACUGACUAGUCAAUCUAAACCCUCUAUGUCUAGAUCUAGAAUCUCUCUGAAUAUUAUUUAUUAUUAGUUCUAGAGUAGAGUUAUAGAGUAUAAUAGACUUGAGUCCUUGAAUUUUCAAAACAUAUGAACAUCUUGUUGAAAUGGAGAAAGGCAAUAAGGCAAACAAAAGAAUAGACACUCCAGAUGAAUAGAGUACAUGAUUUAGUGGACAGUACAGAUUUUAAUGAUCAAGAUUUUGAACUAAAGCCAAUGGCAGAUUGACAAUGUCAAACUUGCAACAUCAAAUACAAGUGAAGAUGGCCCUAAUGCUGAAGACAUUCUUAAGGAAGCUCUAAAAAGAUUGAUGCCUCUUCAGAAAUCCACAAAGACAUGAUGAAAGCAUUGUAAAAGCUAGUGACAAUCCACAGAUGUAUUCUUACGUGGCUUGAAUGUUAUUAAUGUCAAGAAAGCAAAUUAGAUAAAAACUAUACAUUUUAUUGACAAUUUAUGUUAGACUUAGAAAAUAUAUUUUUUUAAUUGCUUAUUCUUUAGAAUGGGAGAAUACUUCAAUAUAGGGACUCAAACAUUAUGAGUAGCUGAUAGUUUUUAAUUAUGCUUAUAAAAAGAAUGGGAAUGACAGAGAGAGCAUGUGAGCUAAUAAAAAUGGUGCUCAGGUGUAUUGUUUUGUAAUAAAUAAUCGUUUAAUAGCUUUUCAGGUACUGCUAGUUAGAAUGCUAUGUAAUAUUAUAAUGCAGUUUGUAAUAAUUAUAAUUCAUUGUGUUAUAUAUUUGUAUUUAUAUUUAUUUGUAAAGAAUUCAGUUACUCUAUAAUGUAAGACAUCAUUUUAGGUCUUUCUGUGUAGCAAAUAUAUUGCACUAUUAUUUCAUUCCUAGUAGUAGAUUAUGUAAUUUAUUGAAUGAUAUUAAAGAGCUUUCAUAU